UGAGGAAUAUUGGUCAAUGGGCGCAAGCCUGAACCAGCCAUCCCGCGUGAAGGAAGAAGGCCCUAUGGGUUGUAAACUUCUUUUCCAGGGGGUGAAUAAUUCCGAUGUAUCGGGAGAUGACGGUACCCUGGGAAUAAGCAUCGGCUAACUCCGUGCCAGCAGCCGCGGUAAUACGGAGGAUGCGAGCGUUAUCCGGAUUUAUUGGGUUUAAAGGGUGCGUAGGCGGAACAAUAAGUCAGUGGUGAAAGACUGCAGCUUAACUGUAGACUUGCCGUUGAUACUGUUGAUCUUGAGUAUGGUCAAGGCAGGCGGAAUGUGUAAUGUAGCGGUGAAAUGCUUAGAUAUUACACAGAACACCGAUUGCGAAGGCAGCUUGCUGGGCCAUUACUGACGCUGAUGCACGAAAGCGUGGGGAUCGAACAGG
rnacentral:rRNA from 1 species